UACGUAGGUGGCAAGCGUUGUUCGGAAUUAUUGGGCGUAAAGGGCGCGUAGGCGGCGCGGUAAGCGUGCGGUGAAAGCCCGGGGCUCAACCCCGGGUCGGCCGUGCGGACUGCCGGGCUGGAGCACUGUAGAGGCAGGUGGAAUUCCGGGUGUAGCGGUGGAAUGCGUAGAGAUCCGGAAGAACACCGGUGGCGAAGGCGGCCUGCUGGGCAGUAGCUGACGCUGAAGCGCGACAGCGUGGGGAGCAAACAGG
rnacentral:rRNA from 1 species